GACGAACGCUGGCGGCGUGCUUAACACAUGCAAGUCGAACGGAAAGGCCCUGCUUUUGUGGGGUGCUCGAGUGGCGAACGGGUGAGUAACACGUGAGUAACCUGCCCUUGACUUUGGGAUAACUUCAGGAAACUGGGGCUAAUACCGGAUAGGAGCUCCUGCUGCAUGGUGGGGGUUGGAAAGUUUCGGCGGUUGGGGGUGGACUCGCGGCUUAUCAGCUUGUUGGUGGGGUAGUGGCUUACCAAGGCUUUGACGGGUAGCCGGCCUGAGAGGGUGACCGGCCACAUUGGGACUGAGAUACGGCCCAGACUCCUACGGGAGGCAGCAGUGGGGAAUAUUGCACAAUGGGCGGAAGCCUGAUGCAGCAACGCCGCGUGCGGGAUGACGGCCUUCGGGUUGUAAGCCGCUUUCGCCUGUGACGAAGCGUGAGUGACGGUAAUGGGUAAAGAAGCACCGGCUAACUACGUG
rnacentral:rRNA from 1 species